AGAGUUUGAUCCUGGCUCAGGAUGAACGCUGGCGGUAUGCUUAACACAUGCAAGUCGAACGGUGUCUUCGGACACAGUGGCGGACGGGUGAGUAACGCGUGAGAAUCUGGCUUUAGGUCUGGGACAACCACUGGAAACGGUGGCUAAUACCGGAUGUGCCCUUAGGGGUGAAAGAUUAAUUGCCUGAAGAUGAGCUCGCGUCUGAUUAGCUAGUAGGUGUGGUAAAGGCGCACCUAGGCGACGAUCAGUAGCUGGUCUGAGAGGACGAUCAGCCACACUGGGACUGAGACACGGCCCAGACUCCUACGGGAGGCAGCAGUGGGGAAUUUUCCGCAAUGGGCGAAAGCCUGACGGAGCAAUACCGCGUGAGGGAGGAAGGCUCUUGGGUCGUAAACCUCUUUUCUCAGGGAAGAAGACAAUGACGGUACCUGAGGAAUAAGCAUCGGCUAACUCCGUGCCAGCAGCCGCGGUAAUACGGAGGAUGCAAGCGUUAUCCGGAAUGAUUGGGCGUAAAGCGUCCGCAGGUGGCUGUGUAAGUCUGCUGUUAAAGAGUCUAGCUCAACUAGAUACAAGCAGUGGAAACUACACGGCUAGAGUACGUUCGGGGCAGAGGGAAUUCCUGGUGUAGCGGUGAAAUGCGUAGAGAUCAGGAAGAACACCAGUGGCGAAGGNNCUCUGCUAGGCCGUAACUGACACUGAGGGACGAAAGCUAGGGGGAGCGAAUGGGAUUAGAUACCCCAGUAGUCC
rnacentral:rRNA from 1 species